CAAAAUAAGUGACGACUGCUGCAGGAAAAUACUUACCAUUGUUGUCUAUUUGAGCGGAACGUUAAGAUUGUAAGCUAAACCAGAAUGUUUCGUUGGUUCAUCGUUGCUGCUCUCUUCGCCUUGGUGGCUGGAAACUGUACUGACUUUGCUGCGCAGUACGACUGUAUGCAGAAUGCCAAGAAGUGGUUGUCAGUCUGCUUAAAUUGUGAGAACACUAGGGUACACAAACUAGAGUGCGAACUGAAAUGUCUGAAGGUUGCUAACAGACGGCUUAUACGUUGUAUUACUUUGGAGUAAAAGCAACUACUAAAGGAAACGGAAAUGUCUGACAACAACCUAAUGAUCAACCAAUUUCGCCUUUUGUUUUUGAUGAAUUUACACUAAGGUGUACAUAUCUGAAAUAAAUCUAUUUCAGUUGUA